ACUAGUUGCUUCUCCUACGGACGUGGGACAACAUCCGAACUGGUCGAUACACAGUUCCAGUCUUCCAGACUCGUCCCCCUGAUUUCCUCAAUGCAUCAUUCUCCACGGUCACCCACUCCACUCUUUUACGUCCCAAAACAUCACAAAAUAUUAAAUUUUAAAGCCCUUCCCUCAAGUUCCCAUUUUUGACCUUCCAAUUCCUCUCUCUCUCUUCUUCCCCUCUUCAUAUCCGAGUUUCUCAAUUUGUUCUCAACAAAACCCUCAGAAGAUGAUUUUGUGACCUGAUUAAUGCCCAUUUAUUGCAAUUUGCGACACCAUGGCAUGGUACAGAAGAUCUAGAUUAGUUGAUGCCUUUAAGACCUUCACUACUAAGAUUGUGCCCAAAAGCCCGAUCACAAACUCCCUUCCAAAGCCCUACCAGCCACAGUAUGCUUCUUAUACUUCCACCGGUAACACAUCCAGGGCUAACGGAUUUGGCCUUUGUGCACCAAUUUUCAGAAACUCAGGUUUUCAAUUGGGGCUCAAGCAAAAUCAGUGCCGCCCUUCUUUAGGUGGGGCAAGAAGAUAUUACUAUGUUGAUCGGCACCAAAUUUAUCACUUUCGGCCCCGAGGGUACAAAAAAUGGUUUCAGAAUCCAAGAAAUGUGUUCAUUGUGAUUUUGGUGGGUUCAGGGGUGGUGAUUACUGUUUAUUUUGGUAACUUGGAAACUGUUCCUUAUACCAAAAGAACCCAUUUUGUGCUUUUGUCCAAAGGUCUUGAGAGACAGCUUGGGGAGCAUCAGUUCCAGGACAUGAAAAAGGCGUUCAAGGGGAAAAUUCUGCCACCCAUCCACCCGGAGAGUGUUAGAGUGAGGUUGAUUGCAAAAGACCUCAUCGAGGCUCUGCAACGAGGGCUGAGCAAGGAGCACGUGUGGACUGAUCCUGGCUAUGCAUCUGACCAUGCAUAUGAGCCAGAUGAGAACAGUGGACAUGAGACCUUGAUGGCAUUGAGUGAUAAUAUGUCUACCACUGAAGGGAAAUGGAACAGGGAGGAUGAGAUCCUUGAUGAUAAGUGGGUCCAACAAAGCCGGAAGAGCGGUCAAGAGAAGGGGAAGUCACCUGCAACUGGACAUUUGGAGGGUUUAAAUUGGGAGGUUUUGGUGGUUAAUGAACCUGUUGUGAAUGCAUUUUGUUUGCCUGGUGGUAAGAUUGUAGUUUUCACGGGGUUGCUUGAGCAUUUUAGAACUGAUGCUGAGAUUGCAACUAUACUUGGACAUGAGGUUGCUCAUGCUGUGGCUAGACAUGCUGCUGAAGGAAUUACUAAAAACCUGUGGUUUGCGAUUGUGCAAUUGAUUUUAUAUCAAUUUGUCAUGCCUGAUGUUGUCAAUACAAUGUCUAAUCUUUUCCUACGGCUUCCUUUCUCAAGGAGGAUGGAGAUGGAAGCAGAUUACAUUGGUCUACUUUUAAUGGCUUCGGCAGGGUAUGAUCCUCGAGUGGCUCCCAGGGUGUUUGAGAAGCUGGGUAAAGUAACGGGUGAAUCAGCACUACGGGAUUAUCUUUCUACUCACCCGUCAGGAAAAAAGAGAGCUCAGUUAUUGGCUCAAGCAAAAGUUAUGGAAGAAGCCUUGCUCAUAUAUAGAGAAGUACAAGCAGGACGAGGUAUCGAGGGUUUUCUAUAAGGGCCAAGACAUUUACGUGUUGCAGUUUCACAUUGUCAACUGUGGGUAACUUGAUUGCUUGGCAUCUCCCACUUACUGAUGAAACUUUGAGAAUCAUCAAGAACUGUUUAUUGAUUAUCUUUAUGUUUUUUUUUUUCCCUAUUUCCCUUCAUAUUCGAAAUCCUUCGGUGAAUUUUGUACUUGUUCCAAUUUACUCACAGAAACAGAAAAAUGUUCAGAAGAGGAAAAGGUGUCCGUGUGACUGACGUAUCUUUGUUAAUAGUAAUGACUCCUAAAUGAGGAGGACAUGCUUCAUGGCAGAAUUGAACAAAGCCCCAGUAAAAUUCACAGAAUUGCAAAAGGUCGUUGCCUUUUUGUCAGCUAUGACAGAACCAGAAUAUCAGUGAAAUGGGGGUGACGUGUUGCUCUAAUUUAUUUAUUUAGUUUGGAACGAAGAAUUCAGCUAAAAAGUGGACGACAAGAUGUUGAAGAACAAGACGGCCAAAGCCGCCAGUGAAAAAUUCUUGCUCAUCAGCAUGAAAUUUGUCCAAGUCCGUGUCAUCAAUCGGUUGUGCGAACUCGCUACUGCUUGUCAUCGUUGCGGUGGCAGGCAGCAGUAGGUGCAGUUUUGUUUUGGGGGGGGUACAAUACAAGCAUAGUAAGCUGCAGCGGCUCACAAGCGUACAGUUCAGACAAGUUAUUGGUGAAUGGAGACUGGUGAGUGCCUACAAAAGCUUUAUAUGCACAUGUUUCAAUUUCAACACAAAGCCGCUUUAGAAUUCUGUGAUUUACUGUAAUACUUUGACCCCUCUAGUUCAACAACGGGUUGAGGAAUGUGCUCGGAUUUUUGUUGGCAAGGGCGCUGUCAAUGUUGUUGUAAGAACUUGUAUAAUACAUUCGAUAACAGCAUGCAUGAAUCUGUUUGUCUCAAA